rnacentral:tRNA from 6 species
GGGUGAUUAGCUCAGUUGGGAGAGCAUCGCCCUUACAAGGCGAGGGUCACUGGUUCAAGUCCAGUACGACCCACCA